rnacentral:rRNA from 1 species
GACAGAGGUGCCAAGCGUUAGGCGGAAUCACUGGGCUUAAAGCGUGUGUAGGCGGAUCGUUAAGUACCUUGUGAAAUCCCACGGCUCAACCGUGGAACUGCUGGGUAUACUGGCGAUCUUGAGCCACCUAGGGGCAACUGGAACAAGUGGUGGAGCGGUGAAAUGCGUAGAUAUCGCUUGGAACGCCAACGGUGAAAACAGGUUGCUGGGGGUGUGCUGACGCUGAGACACGAAAGCCAGGGGAGCGAACGGG